rnacentral:rRNA from 1 species
GACGAACGCUGGCGGCGUGCCUAAUACAUGCAAGUUGAGCGAUGAAGAUUGGUGCUUGCACCAAUUUGAAGAGCAGCGAACGGGUGAGUAACGCGUGGGGAAUCUGCCUUUGAGCGGGGGACAACAUUUGGAAACGAAUGCUAAUACCGCAUAACAACUUUAAACAUAAGUUUUAAGUUUGAAAGAUGCAGUUGCAUCACUCAAAGAUGAUCCCGCGUUGUAUUAGCUAGUUGGUGAGGUAAAGGCUCACCAAGGCGAUGAUACAUAGCCGACCUGAGAGGGUGAUCGGCCAAAUUGGGACUGAGACACGGCCCAAACUCCUACGGGAGGCAGCAGUAGGGAAUCUUCGGCAAUAGACGAAAGUCUGACCGAGCAACGCCGCGUGAGUGAAGAAGGUUUUCGGAUCGUAAAACUCUGUUGGUAGAGAAGAACGUUGGUGAGAGUGGAAAGCUCAUCAAGUGACGGUAACUACCCAGAAAGGGACGGCUAACUACGUG